rnacentral:rRNA from 1 species
AUACGGAGGGUGCAAGCGUUAAUCGGAAUUACUGGGCGUAAAGCGCACGUAGGUGGUUUGGUAAGUUGGAUGUGAAAUCCCCGGGCUCAACCUGGGAAUGGCAUCCAAGACUGCCAAGCUAGAGUCUGGUAGAGGGUGGUGGAAUUCCAGGUGUAGCGGUGGGAAAUGCGUAGAUAUCUGGAGGAACAUCAGUGGCGAAGGCGGCCACCUGGACCGAGACUGACACUGAGGUGCGAAAGCGUGGGUAGC